CCCUUAACGACUGGUCACUUACGUACCAGCAACUCAGCUUGAAGAAGGUUCCAUUAAACUGGAAAAGCUUGAGAGACUUUAGUUGGCAAGCUCCUGCUUGUCCCUGCUCCCUCGAGAAGCAGGGCCCCCCAAAAAGUUUAGAUCAGAUAUAUAAAAUAAAAGAAUGACUUUUGGUUCUGAUUUAUCUCACUUUCUCAUCUCAGACCCCCUCACAUGGCAAUGACAAGCAAAAGGGAUUUUCUUUGGAGCCAUGCUACAGCGUCCAGCCUGUGAAGCAAGUAUCCUCAGGUGCAGACACCCUCCUGUGUGCAUCUGUUUGUCGUGGCCCAGCAUGUCUCAGCCCCAAGCCACGGUUCGGCCUGACUGGGGGAGCGUGGACUUGGAAACUCCUAGCAACCCAAUGGCGAUAAAGACCAAACACAGGCAUCUUGUCAUCUUUAGAGGGCUCUCGGUUCCGUGCUGCAGAACUGGAGUCUUUUCUUUAUUCAGCAUCUCCCUGGCUGUUUCCUAACCAUGCUUUCCUGGCCACAAGGCCGUUUCUGUCUCCUCCAGUUAACCCCUCUGCUAGGUUGCUCCUAACGCUCUCUGUCCUCACUUGUCCUGCACGCCGUACCCAGUGCAGAGCAUGAACUCACUGAACAUGGCUGGAUGCUUUACUGUAGCUAUACACUUCGAACCACAAGGAUAAUAAGUAGUGCUUCUCUUCCUUGACUCUAUGCCCAGACGCCUGCAUCUGCUGUUCACUUAGACGGGGUAAGAAGCAAACCUUCUGAUUCUUGGCCUGAUUCAGGGCAUCUGAAAGGAGAAUUAGUCAUGGCUUUGUUCACGGUCUGAGAAUGUUCAGUCUUGUCCCACCUGCUUGUAGGAACUUGAACGCAACCAGUGUAUCUCACGUUUCCCAGCCCUGGCUGGCCAAAGAGCCUGACUUGUAACAGUCUUGACAAGGCCUGCUCUGCAUGGCUCAGUGACAUCACUUGGAAACUGGCUUCUUCCCUGGCGGAGCGAGUGAGGUGACAUUGCUGAAAGGCAAGAGGAAGUCGGAGCAGCUGCAGCCUGGCUUCUCCAGGGUGCACGUCUCAGCCUGUUCGCGCGCGCCUGUGCUGGAAGCUUAGCUGGAAGAAGACUAUUUUAAGCUGGAGAAACAGAACGGUCCAGGAGCCUGCUGUUGAGAGACUGCCUGUUAGGAUGCGAUGCCCUUGCCUGCAAUCGCUACAUGAACUCACAACCUGAACUUGUACAAUGAGGCCUCAGUAAGACUGGGAACGUGACCCACAACACAGUCCGUGCUUACGCUUUGAUGCUCCUUGUUUGGCUUCCUAAAUCGCUGGGCAAUGCAGACUCUUAUGUUUGCUCUUCUCUCUGGCCUUUGGGACCUUCCUUUUAUUUCUUCUUUUUAUUUCUUCUUCCACGUCAAAUCUUCUGGCCCCCAUAAGUCUCUCUGGACAUCCCAAACUUAGUCAGCUUCCCUCAUACAGCUUGUACAACUGUACAAGCUACCAGACUGGGAGCUGAUCUUCAGGCCCCAAGGAUCUGUGCCGUUUUCUUAAUUUGUAACUGAGGGUCUGCUCAAAAAAGUUAAUGAAUAAUAAAAAAAAAAAACCUGAGU
rnacentral:lncRNA from 1 species